CUCACAGUGCCCUUGUGGUCCCAGCUGUGACAUGCACAUGCACAAAGGGGCAGAAAAGACAUUUUUUAAGACACUGGAGAGAUGUGGAACAAAAAGGACUGACUGAACUAAACCAGAGAAUAGCAAGUCUUUCCAAGGUCUACUGAAUCACUGAACUGGUGAUAUAAACUUACAUCAAGCAGAACUUCAGCCUAAGAUAUGAGAGCAUCAUAUCUUAAAAAUCAUCGAAGUAACAAGAAGAGAAUUCAAGAAGACCUCACCAAUACUCUAUUGGGGAAAUUUUCAGCUUUGGUUAACACCUUAUCCUAAAACUAUUGACCUUAAAGCAAUAACAAUAAUGUAGAGUAAGGGGCUGUAAAGAACUAAAAUUUGAAAAUAACUACAUAUGCUUCAUCAACUUUAACUUUACAUUCUCAAGGAAAUUCAAGAAUACAUGAAGUCUGUAAAAUAAGAGAUAAGAUGAGAAGACAACCACUGCAAUGGGAAAAAAAAAAGGUUAGGAGGCAUGGAAAAAAAAACAUUUUUAAAGCUACAUGAAAAAAGAAAACUAAAUAAACAAAAAUAAAUUUAGUAUUAGGUCAAAAAAUUAACAUUGAUAAUAUGGACAUUUUGAAGAGGU